GGUGACCCUGUCCCCAAAAUGUCCCCACAGUGUCCCCAGCAUGGAGUGGGAGCAGCUGGGGAGGUGACGCGGGGGGGUGGCCCCAAAUGUCCCCAAAGUGUCCCCAAUGGGGUGACCCCAUCCCCAGAAUGUUCCCAGUUAGGGUGGUCCUGUCCCUGUGUCCCCAAAAUGUCCCUAAUUGGGGUGACCCCAUCCCCAAAGUGUCUCCAAAUGUCCCCAAGUGGGGUGACCCCAUCCUCAAAAUGUCCCCAAAGUGCCCCCAGCCUGGAGUGGGAGCAGCUGGGGAGGUGAUGCGGGGGGGGGUGGCCCCAAAUGGCCCCAAAUGGCCCCAAAUGUCCCUGUGUGGGGUUACACCAUCCCUGUGUCCCCAAAAUGUCCCCCAUUGGGGUGACCCCAUCCCCAAAAUGUCCCCAAAGUGUCCCCAGCGUGGAGUGGGAGCAGCUGGGGAGGUGACAGCAGGGGGGUGGCCCCAAAUGUCCCCCAAAUGUCCCCAAAGUGUCCCCAAAUGUCCCCCAUUGGGGUGACCCCAUCCCCACAAUGUCCCCAAGAUGUCCCCAGUUAGGGUGACCCCAUCCCCAUGAUCCCCAUCAGGACAAGGACAUCAGGACGGGGACACGGGGACAGGGGGACAAGGACAUUGGUAAUGGGGACACUGGGAUGAGGACACGGGGACAAGGACAUCAGGGUGGGGACAGCGGGAUGGGGACACGGGGGCAUCAGAACAAGGACAUCGGGGUGGGGACAUUGGGACAGGGACAGUGGGACGGGAACACGGGGACAAGGACAUCGGGAUGGGGACAGCAGGGUGACGUUGGGAUGGGGACAUGGGGACAAGGACAUCAGGACGAGGACAUUGGGGUGGGGACAGUGGGAUGGGGACAACCCCAAUGGGGACAUCGAGGACAGGGACAUUGGGGGGGGGCACAAGGAUGGGGGGGACAAGGACAAAGAGGGGGGGACACGGGGAUGGGGUGGGGACAUCGGCGGGGGACCCACUGUGACCAGACCCCCCCUGUCCCCCCCCCCCAUCCGGACAAGGACAUCAGGACAAGGACAUCGGGAUGGGGACACUGGGAUGGGGACACUGGGGUGGGGACACGGGACAAGGGCAUCAGGAGGAGGACAUUGGGAUGGGCAUUGGGAAUGGGGGGACUGGGAUGGGGACAGGGGGACAAGGACAUCAGGGUGGGGACAGCGGGAUGGGGACACGGGGGCAUCAGAACAAGGACAUCGGGGUGGGGACAUUGGGACAGGGACAGUGGGACGGGAACAUGGGGACAAGGACAUCGGGAUGGGGACAGCAGGGUGACGUGGGGACGGGGACGGGGGACCCACUGUGACCAGACCCCCCCUGUCCCCCCCCAAAACUAAACUUUUUUGAGGCCGCGUUGCCAAUCCCGCUGUUUAUUGAACCAAACCCCAACAUUUUGGGCUCAGAACAGCAAAAAACAGGCAAAACCAGAAACGACGCCUUCCGGCUGUGGCUCCAUGCUCAGUCCUGGGGGAGAGAAACC
rnacentral:lncRNA from 1 species